rnacentral:lncRNA from 1 species
AGAUUAAUUACCGUUUUAGUGAAGGUCUGUUCAAAUUAAUUAUCGUAUGAAACUACUACUGGUAUUUUCGUCAUGCCUCUCACCUUGUAGCUCAUUUUUUAAUACUAUUUACAUGCAUGGAAAGCUAACGAAAUUACCCUUGUUGGCAUUUCAAUUUCGUCGAAUUUGGAGUUACGAUGCGUUCGGUAGACGAUGUUGAAUUUGAAGAUCACAAGUGUAUUUCUGCAAAAUUAGUAAUUGGACAGACUUUCACUAAAACGGUAAUUAAUCUCUCUCUGUAACUCCAAAUUUAGUGGGGUUUGAUUCUGUGGAAAGCUAACUCGAUUACGGUCGUUUCG